rnacentral:rRNA from 1 species
GGUUAAGCGACUAAGCGUACACGGUGGAUGCCUUGGCAGUCAGAGGCGAUGAAGGACGUGCUAAUCUGCGAUAAGCGUCGGUAAGGUGAUAUGAACCGUUAUAACCGGCGAUUUCCGAAUGGGGAAACCCAGUGUGUUUCGACACACUAUCAUUAACUGAAUCCAUAGGUUAAUGAGGCGAACCGGGGGAACUGAAACAUCUAAGUACCCCGAGGAAAAGAAAUCAACCGAGAUUCCCCCAGUAGCGGCGAGCGAACGGGGAGCAGCCCAGAGCCUGAAUCAGUGUGUGUGUUAGUGGAAGCGUCUGGAAAGGCGCGCGAUACAGGGUGACAGCCCCGUACACAAAAAUACACAUACUGUGAGCUCGAUGAGUAGGGCGGGACACGUGGUAUCCUGUCUGAAUAUGGGGGGACCAUCCUCCAAGGCUAAAUACUCCUGACUGACCGAUAGUGAACCAGUACCGUGAGGGAAAGGCGAAAAGAACCCCGGCGAGGGGAGUGAAAAAGAACCUGAAACCGUGUACGUACAAGCAGUGGGAGCACGCUUAGG